AUCGAUCCUGUCCUAGUGAGUGGUCUUAGUAACACUUUUUAUCUGCAAACAUUGAAAAUUUUUUGGUUAAUAUGACGUUGGCGUUGUCGUCGUCUUCGUUCGAAGACAUUUGGUUUUCGCAUUAUAACUUUAGUACAAGUAAAUAGAAAUCAUUCCGGAUUAAUGAAAAUGUGUGUACUAACUUAAUUAACCAUAAUAGAUUGUCUAUACUAAUGACAACGAGAACAGGAUAAGGUACCGGUAUUUGAUUUAUCUAUUAACAAAUGUAAUAUGUUAAUAAAACUUAGUUUUAAAAAAGUUGAAUUCUUGGGGUUCUUUAUUAUGCUGAAUCUAAACAUGUACUUAGAUUUUUUAUUAUGGGCCCAGUUUUCUAGUUGGUCCAUAUCGGGUUCCAAAAUUAAACUUCGUUUGAUUUCAACAAAAAUUGAAUAUAAUAUGGGGUUCUUCGAUAUGUUGAAUCUAACCAUGAAUUUACAUUUUUAAUAUUUGGGACCGGUUAUCAAAUUGGUCCACAUUGAGGUCUAAAGGGUCUAAAAUUGAACAUUAUUUGAUUUCAUCAAAAAUUGAAUUCUUGGGGUUCUAUGAUAUGCCGAAUCUAACCAUGUAUUUAUAUUUUGGAUAUUGGACCAUAAUAGGUAAAUGUCCAAUUUUAAAUUUUUAAAUAAGUUUUUAAGUUUAAGUUCUUAGACCACAUUCAUUCUGUGUCAGAAACCUAUGUUGUAUCAACUAUUUAAUCACAAUCCAAAUGCAGAGAUGUAUCAAGCUUAAAUGUUGUGUCCAUACUUGCCCCAACUGUUCAGGGUUCGACCUCUGCGGUCGUAUAAAGCUGCGCCUUGUGGAACAUCUGGUUAAAUGUAGGGGACAGCUAUCAAGCUUAAAUGUUGUGUCCAUACUUGCCCCAACUGUUCAGGGUUCGACCUCUGCGGUCGUAUAAAGCUGCGCCUUGUGGAACAUCUGGUUAAAUGUAGGGGACAACUCUUGAUAAAAAAUAAGAAGAUGAAGGAGAUGAAGUACGAGAGCUUGUCUAUAAGACAACUAUCCACCAAUGAAGUGGAUGUAGAUAAUAAGAAAAACUCAACCCAUAUGAUGUAGUCGGCAAUAAAAGGCCACUACAUAACAAAUAUAAAACAAUUCAAUUGAGAAAAUUAACGGCUUAUUUUACCAAAAACAUAUAUGACAGACAGGAACCAACGACAACUACUAAACUACAGGCUCCUUACUUUGGACAGGUGCAUACAUAAUGUGGCGGAGCAAAACAUGUUUGCGAGCGCUCAAACCUAUUACCUAGAACAUUGGUAAAACACCCCAUAUAAAAUCAGUUGAAAAAGUCUCAACUCAUUAUAAAAAAAAUAUGUUAAUUGUUUCUAUUUACUUUAAACAGAUUUUGAAUUGUAAGUUACAGUUCCAUAAAGAAGGGAAACCUCGUUUUGAAUUAUCACCUAUCUUUCAUUACCUGCUAUACAAGUACACAUUUUACCAAUUGGCCAUCAAAACUAUUUUUAUACCCCCGCUUUAAAAAAGGGGGGGUAUACUGUUUUACCUCUGUCUGUCCGUCAGUCCGUCCGUCAGUCCGUCAGUCCGUCAGUCCGUCCGUCCGUCCGUCAGUCCGUCAGUCCGUCCGUCAGUCAGUCCGUCCCAUGAAACUUUCGUCACAUUUUUCUCAGGAACUACACAUCCACCCUUUCUGUAAUUUGGUAUCAACAUUUAUAUAUGUUAGCCAUACCGUGUGAUGCGUUUUCAGAUUCAUCACUUGACAACUUCCUGUUUACCGAACACUUGUAUGAUUUUACACAUAAUAGCCAAGUUGAAAAUUUUCGUCACAUUUUUCUCAGGAACUACACAUCCACCCUUUCUGUAAUUUGGUAUCAACAUUUAUAUAUGUUAGCCAUACCGUGUGAUGUGUUUUCAGAUUCAUCACUUGACAACUUCCUGUUUACCGAACACUUGUAUGAUUUUACACGUGAUAGCCAAGUUGAAAAUUUUCGUCACAUUUUUCUCAGCAACUACAAUACAAGGAUUUCUGAAAUUUGGUUUCAGGAUUUAUAUAAGUCAGCUAUACCGUGUGAUGCGUUUUCAGAUUCAUCACUCGACAACUUCCUGUUUACUGAACACUUGUAUGAUUUUACACAUGAUAGCCAAGUUGAAAAUUUUCGUCACAUUUUUCUCAGGAACUACAAUACAAGGAUUUCUGAAAUUUGGUUUCAGGAUUUAUAUAAGUCAGCUAUACCGUGUGAUGCGUUUUCAGAUUCAUCACUUGACAACUUCCUGUUUACCGAACACUUGCAUAUUUUUACACUAUUAAUAUUAUCCACUUGCGGCGGGGGUAUCAUCAGUGAGCAGUAGCUCGCAGUUUCACUUGUUACAUAUGAGGUUACUGGUAUGUGUCAUUGGACCCCGAAAGUGAUGAAGACUAUACGAGGAGAUUUUCGGAUUGGGUGUCGGACGGUUCAAACGACUAGACGCUGUAAAAG
rnacentral:lncRNA from 1 species